rnacentral:lncRNA from 1 species
AAUCCAAGGGGGAGAUGCGAGGUGGGUGAGCCGCCUGCAGGCCCUGGCUUCUGAAUCCAUUCCCAGCUUAUCCUCUGCCACGAGGGCUCUACCUGGGUCCGCACCGACACCCACCCGAGGGUCGCUACGAUGCACAACCUGGGAGAUUGGGUUCACAGGUCUGCUGUCGGGUGGCUCCUGAGUAUGCUUUUUGCACUUUAGGCCGCUUGGUCCCGGUGUGGGAGCCUCCAGCCUGGGCUCUUCAUUUCUCAACUCUGCCCCACCCCCUCCCCUUUCUUGCAGUUUAAACCGGGUUUUCAUGUCUUCCCCCACUAAUCUUUCUGAGCCUUUUCUUCCUUAAGCAACCAUCGGGUCUGGGAGGUUUGAUUGCCUGACCACCCAUUUGUCCAUGAAGUAACACGAACAGUGCUCUAUUCUUCCGGGGAGCCAGGGAAGAGGCGAUGACCCCCAGUUCCUGGACGGAGAUGUCCCUGCUCCGAGGUGACGGGAUCCGAACCAGCAGCACGCCGGGUUGGAGCGUCCUCAGGGUCACCUGGCUGGCUGGUAUCCGCCAGGUGAGCUUGUUAGAAUGUGUGCCUAGGUGGCAGGUUCCUGCAGAAAUAUGCCUAUAAACACCCAACACCCGGCUGCACCUUACACCUACAGGCUUUGUACACUUUCCAACCGAAACUGCUAGGCGCAAGAGGGAGGGAGACGGGAGGGGGCACGUCCUGGAGGGAUGGAAGUUCGGGAAAACUCGUAUUUGGCUGAAGUUUAUCACUCUACCUGGGUCCUACCCAGUAAAGGAUCUUUCCACCUUCGGGGGUUUAAAAAAAAAGUAGUGGUGGGGAGAAAGAGCUCUUAUUAAUCCUGGCGCCACCCCCGCAGCAGAGCACACUCGUGCUUCUGCACACCCGAGUCCACACGCAAGGAAAUAAGUACACUUGCCCCUAAGGCAUACCGGCUUUUCCCAUGUGCUAGCUGGCGCACUUUUUAUUUAAAAAAAGAAGAAAGAAAAGAAAGGGAAAAAAA